ACCGCCUCAGCACGUCACCUGACUACAAACACGUCUGACUCUCCAGCCGUCACACGCAGGAAGUCAAGACGACUUGCGUUUGUUUUGUUUUGUUUUUCCUGCAACUUGUCGCGCAAAAUGAAGCCUUUCUGCGUUCUUUCCAGCGUGUUUCGUUCUUGUUUUUAUGAGCUGCGCACAUCAUGUGAACGCCUGCGGGGUGAUGCAGAGGGGGAGGGUUGAAAAGGUUAGCCAACUGUGCAUGUGGAAGGGAACGGAGCUCGGCGCUCCUUCUCAUUCAAAGCUGGACAUCAGAAGGAGGAUUUCUGUUGUGCAGCGACCGGGUUUUGAGUGCCGGAGGGUUUUUUGUGUGUUUCAAGACACGGAUGCAAGAUUUAGUCACAAACCUCUUCAGAACGGAGAUGACAAAGUUAUUGAAUCCAAGACGGAUAACCUUGCAAUAAUUUAGAUUAAAUCCCUUUUGGAGGAGGCUGAUAAAUAUGCAUGCUGACUGAAGACGCAGAGCAGCUCCUGAGGAGUGUUGUCCUUGUCACAAAAUGAAACCGUCCCAGCUAAAGGUCACAAAGUGAGUGUCAUUCUAAAGAGCCAUCUGUUGGUAAUAGAUGGAACAAGGGUGUUGCUGUCCGCCACAGAAGGUUGUGCCAAUAAAUGCUGUCUCUUUGAUUCACGGCUAAAUAACAAAUGUUUGCAAGUAAAUGUGAGUAGGCACAGAAGCCAAGGACGACGACCAUGAUCAUAACCCAAAGAGGUGUGGCAAGAAACGGAUGGAUUUUUAUCGUUAUUUAGUUUUAGUUAUUUUGUUACUGCAUUGUAUUAAACAUUUCUCUGUUAAACCUUUAGUUUUAGAUGUAAAACCGUACAUUUUCUACAUACAAUACAGUCCACAAUUCUUAAAUGAGAAAUAUUUCUGUCUUCAAAAGCCUCAAACUUAAUCAGUACAUUUUAUAAAUUGUCCUUGUUUACAGCAAUGUCUAAUUGUUCUUGACUCGUCUGUUUUCAGUUGGAUCUUGGGCUAAUAAAAAUCUACAUAUUA